GAAAAUUCUCAUUUUUUAGAAAGUCAUCCAUGCAAGAGUUGCUUUAUGAGGGAGGUUAAGUAUUAAGGUGGAUCAAGAUGUUACCAUUCAAAAGGCUUAUCACAUGCUACAAGGCCAUCACUGCAUGUCUUUCUGCUUCAAGGAACUAUCUGUGUCCAGGUGAGGCUUGGUGAUUUCCUAGUAACAAAUAAUUCUAUGCUAUUCAUGAGAGCACCACCUAAGGGACUUUGUUCUACUCUGUACCCCACACCCAGCACAAUGUUGCACUUAAUAGGGACUUUCUAUGCUUUUCCUGAAUGAGUGUAUGCAAAGAAAAGGUUAAGUAAUAUUGGGUGUGGUGGCACAUGCCUAUAAUCCCAGCAAUUUGGGAGGCUGAGGAAGGAGGAUUGCAAGUUUGAGGCCAGCCUUAGCAACUUAGUAAGACCUUGUCUGAACAGAAACAACAACAACAACAACAACAAAAAUCCUGGGAAUAUGGCUGAGUGGUUAAUUGUAACUGGGUUCAAUCCUCCAUAUCAAAAAAAAAAAAAGGUUGAGCAGGGAGGAAAAAGGAUACGUAGCAAAAAGAAUUACGGUUGUGGGAUAAUUUAAUUAGAUAUUCUUUCACAUUUUUCAAAUAAUGUUAUAAUUAUGCCAUGUUUUGGCAUGAAGCAAGGGAACUUAUGCUGUAAAAAAAAUUAAAGAUAAUAAUAAUAGCAACAACAAUGGAGAGCUAAUUAAUGACACAAGUAGACUAAACUUUUCACAGACAUUAUCUUUUAAAAUCCUCUCCCAAAUCAUCUAACAUCUCUGUGACUCAGGUUCCCCACUGGUAAAAUGGAGACAAUAAAUAGUUCUCAUUUCAUAGGGUGGCCAUAAAGAUUAAAUGAGAAAAGCCGUCAGUGUUUAAAAGAGCACCUGUCACUCAGUAAGGAACCAGUAAGUAGAAACUCGUCUGUGCAUGGUUAACCAGGUUGCCUAGAGCAAUCUAACUGCCCCAUGGCAGAUCAUUAGCUAUAGGUGGGUUGGAAGACCAAACUGCCUUUUCUAUAUCACAUUUUGAAAAUUUUCAGAACAUACCAGAAAAAUGCCUUGGGAUAAGUUCGAAUUGUAGACUAGUGCAUGCCCCUUGGCUCCCAAGCCUCAAGAAGAACCAUCUGCCCUUGUGAGCUGCUGCCUCCCACCAAGUUGACUUAGUGUCAACCUCCUGCCAGAUGGAUUUCAUCUUAAC
rnacentral:lncRNA from 1 species